rnacentral:rRNA from 1 species
UACGUAGGGGGCAAGCGUUGCUCGGAAUCAUUGGGCGUAAAGAGCGUGUAGGCGGUCCGAUAAGUCCGCUCUGAAAGCCCGGGGCUCAACCUCGGGAGGCGGGCGGAUACUGUCGGGCUAGAGUCCGGAAGAGGCAAGUGGAAUUCCUGGUGUAGCGGUGAAAUGCGCAGAUAUCAGGAGGAACACCGAUGGCGAAGGCAGCUUGCUGGGACGGUACUGACGCUGAGACGCGAAAGCGUGGGGAGCAAACAGG